UACGAAGGGGGCUAGCGUUGUUCGGAAUUACUGGGCGUAAAGCGCGUGUAGGCGGGUCUUUUAAGUCAGGGGUGAAAUGCCAAGGCUCAACCUUGGAACUGCCUUUGAUACUGGAGAUCUUGAGUCCGGGAGAGGUGAGUGGAACUGCGAGUGUAGAGGUGAAAUUCGUAGAUAUUCGCAAGAACACCAGUGGCGAAGGCGGCUCACUGGCCCGGAACUGACGCUGAGACGCGAAAGCGUGGGGGAGCAAACAGG
rnacentral:rRNA from 1 species